CACGUAGGGGGCGAGCGUUGUCCGGAAUCAUUGGGCGUAAAGAGCUCGUAGGCGGCUCGGUAAGUCGGGUGUGAAACCCCCAGGCUCAACCUGGGGACGCCACCCGAUACUGCUGUGGCUAGAGUCCAGUAGGGGAGUGUGGAAUUCCCGGUGUAGCGGUGAAAUGCGCAGAUAUCGGGAGGAACACCAGCGGCGAAGGCGGCCCUCUGGACGGUGACUGACGCUGAGACGCGAAAGCGUGGGGAGCAAACAGG
rnacentral:rRNA from 1 species